rnacentral:rRNA from 1 species
UACGUAGGGGGCUAGCGUUGUCCGGAAUCAUUGGGCGUAAAGAGCGCGUAGGCGGCUAGAUAAGUCCGGUGUGAAAGUCACAGGCUCAACCUGUGAAUGCCGCUGGAAACUGUCUGGCUAGAGUCCGGAAGGGGCGAGUGGAAUUCCUGGUGUAGCGGUGAAAUGCGCAGAUAUCGGGAGGAACACCAGUGGCGAAGGCGGCUUCCUGGCCUGUUCUUGACGCUGAGGCGCGAAAGCUAGGGGAGCAAACGGG